rnacentral:lncRNA from 1 species
GGACAUUCAAGCAGGACCGAGAGAAUGCAAGAAUAGCCAGCAUAAAAGAAACAGAGAUGAUAUGACAAUCACACUUCUUUACGUUUAUUAUUUGUUACAGUAGUUAAUCAGUUCUUUUUUAGUAGUAGUAGUUGUGCACUAAGCUCUCGCUACAUGUAGGAUUUGGGGGAUGACAGGAUCACAUUGGAUCGUGUAUGCAAACCUUAUCUUGAUUUACUGCCAGAGAAUAUUUUCGCGGCUUAAACUCGUGACAACAACUUUUAUCUUAAAGUCAAGGCUCCC